GACGAACGCUGGCGGCGUGCUUAACACAUGCAAGUCGAACGGUAAGGCCCUUCGGGGUACACGAGUGGCGAACGGGUGAGUAACACGUGGGUGAUCUGCCCUGCACUUCGGGAUAAGCCUGGGAAACUGGGUCUAAUACCGGAUAGGACCACUGCCUGCAUGGGUGGUGGUGGAAAGCUUUUGCGGUGUGGGAUGGGCCCGCGGCCUAUCAGCUUGUUGGUGGGGUGAUGGCCUACCAAGGCGACGGCGGGUAGCCGGCCUGAGAGGGUGACCGGCCACACGGGGGCUGAGAUACGGCCCAGACUCCUACGGGAGGCAGCAGUGGGGAAUAUUGCACAAUGGGCGCAAGCCUGAUGCAGCGACGCCGCGUGAGGGAUGACGGCCUUCGGGUUGUAAACCUCUUUCAGCACCGACGAAGCGCAAGUGACGGUAGGUGCAGAAGAAGGACCGGCCAACUACGUGCCAGCCGCCGCCGUAA
rnacentral:rRNA from 1 species